rnacentral:rRNA from 1 species
AGUGAACGCUGGCGGUAGGCCUAACACACGCAAGUCGAACGGCAGCACAGUAAGAGCUUGCUCUUACGGGUGGCGAGUGGCGGACGGGUGAGGAAUACAUCGGAAUCUACUUUUUCGUGGGGGAUAACGUAGGGAAACUUACGCUAAUACCGCAUACGACCUACGGGUGAAAUCAGGGGAUCUUCGGACCUUGCGCGAUUGAAUGAGCCGAUGUCGGAUUAGCUAGUUGGCGGGGUAAAGGCCCACCAAGGCGACGAUCCGUAGCUGGUCUGAGAGGAUGAUCAGCCACACUGGAACUGAGACACGGUCCAGACUCCUACGGGAGGCAGCAGUGGGGAAUAUUGGACAAUGGGCGCAAGCCUGAUCCAGCCAUACCGCGUGGGUGAAGAAGGCCUUCGGGUUGUAAAGCCCUUUUGUUGGGAAAGAAAAGCAGCAGGUUAAUACCCCGCUGUUCUGACGGUACCCAAAGAAUAAGCACCGGCUAACUUCGUG